GAUGAACGCUGGCGGCGUGCCUAAUACAUGCAAGUCGAGCGAACAGAUAAGGAGCUUGCUCCUUUGACGUUAGCGGCGGACGGGUGAGUAACACGUGUGUAACCUACCUAUAAGACUGGGAUAACUUCGGGAAACCGGAUCUAAUACCGGAUAAGAUUUCGAACCUCAUGGUUCGAUAGUGAAAGAUGGUUGUGCUAUCACUUAUAGAUGGGCCCGCGCCGUAUUAGCUAGUUGGUAAGGUAACGGCUUACCAAGGCGACGAUACGUAGCCGACCUGAGAGGGUGAUCGGCCACACUGGAACUGAGACACGGUCCAGACUCCUACGGGAGGCAGCAGUAGGGAAUCUUCCGCAAUGGGCGAAAGCCUGACGGAGCAACGCCGCGUGAGUGAUGAAGGUCUUCGGAUCGUAAAACUCUGUUAUUAGGGAAGAACAUACGUGUAAGUAACUGUGCACGUCUUGACGGUACCUAAUCAGAAAGCCACGGCUAACUACGUG
rnacentral:rRNA from 1 species